rnacentral:lncRNA from 1 species
ACAGAAGAGUAAUAGAAGGGCAUGACCUAAUCUGUGAUGCCCUCAAGCAGUAGAACUAGAAUCAAUGGGUAGAAUUUACAGUGGAGGUGGAUCAACUUGAGGUCAGGAGUUACCAGCCUGGUGUACAUGGUGAAACCCGGCACAUUUGUAAUAUGCUAUAUGGAAUAGUGUUGCCAGAUAAAAGAAAGACAUCCAGUUAAAUUUGAAUUUCAGAUAAACAAAUAUUGCAGUGUAUGUUCCAAAUAUUGCUGCUUAUCUGGGCAUCCUGUAUUUUUAUUUGCUAAAUCUGACAACCCUCACAUGGAAUAGUGGAUUAUGGGAUGCAAAGGGUCAUAUGCUUAAAAUGAGGCUGUCUGGCACCUGAUAUGUCAUGGCAAGUUUCC